UUACUUCACAUUAUAGGUUUGUAGGCCUGCCAUUCACACGUCACAUGCAGUGAGAUUCUCAGAAAAUACAGAGAACCCCGGAGUCCUGCAGGUUUUAGAUGUGUCCUUGAUCCAGCACAGCUGAUUCAAAUGGCUAAAUGACCUCCUCAACAUGUCUUGACUUUCUUCAGAGGCCUGGCAAUGAACUAAUCAUUUGAUUCAGGUGUGCUGACCCAGGGUGAGACCUAAAACCUGCAGGACACCGGCCAUGAGGCCUGGAGUUGGACACCCCUGCUUUAAACUAUGAGCAAAGAGCACUUCAAAUGGUCUAAAACAUGCUGAAAUGCUGUGUUUGUUUCAUUUUCUACUCAUAUGAAAUCAAGAAGUGCCACGUGGGAUGAAGAAGCGUAAACGCUGCAUGUUCGUUUCAUGAUGAAAGCACCUUUGCCAGCCUUCAAAUGUCACUGAGGAGAAAAAAGUUAACCAGCAGCCUGACGCAGGUACUGAAUAGUAGCAGCUCAGGCUCACACCUUUAACACUUCUCAACACUUUAAUAAUAAGUCUGAGCUGUUAUUAAACUGCAGCAGAGAUCCAGGCUUUAAUCCAAGGAUACCGCCUUUGAGGAAACAUCUGAAGGCGAUGAACUCCUGACUCUGUUAGUCCUGCGGCAGGUUGCCAUCCUGCCCGGGGCGUACCCUGCACCUCUCUCCAUGACAGCUGAAGACUCCAGCUGGGGCCACACUGCAGAACUGAAGUGGAAGAAAUGAAUGAAUGGAACUACAACACAAUCGGCUCACUGUUCCUCCUGGUUACAUUUGGAAAUAACUGGAAAAGUCAUCACAUAAAGAAAACCGUGUGAGUCACAGAGGUGUCCAGUGAAAAAGCCCAAGAUGGAAACUGACUAUAAAACUCCUUUAUGGAUGAGCUCACGCCCACAUAAGCCCUAAACUGCUUUAAAGUCGUAUACUUUACAACUACAGAGGCUUGCUUCAUUUUAAUGUUUCCAGGGCUGAACUCCUUUAGCCGAUGGCAGGAAAUCCCACCUCAUCAUCCGUCCCCAGUACAGUGUCACAUCUGCUCGCAACAGCAACAACUUCAUAUUAAAGAAAACUGUCCACGACCUUCCAGAAAUUCCAAUAAUUAAAUCCAAGUUGCAGGUGGAACAACUGAAACUCCAUCAUGCAGUAGAAGAAGGAAGUCACAGUAAAAACUGAACAUGUGAUUGGUCUCCAGCAGACAGUGAGGGUGGAAAAAUGAAGGGCUUUUUUAGAAAACCAUUAAAUGAAUGCAUAACAUAAAGUGCUGUGGAUAUUAAAUCCAUCUUAAUUAAAGGAAAUAUUUGACAGAAAAGGUAAAUAAAUUAAAAGUACAAAAUAAAUGAUCAUCGUUUGAUCCUGAUACCAGAGCCACCUGAAAAAGGACUAAAUUUUAUCUCCAAAGUGACGACGCACAGGCUUCGUCGUUUUGUUUAUUUGGUAAUAUAUUCAGUUAAAUGCAAAUCUUGCUCCUGGAUUCUUUUUGAUGCAUCUAAAAAGCUUUAUUUAUUUAUUUAUGCAUUACUUGAUGAUUAGUUAUUUAUUCAUUCGUUUUGGACAUUUGUUUCCUCCAGAAACAAACACAAAUGUCUUCUGGUUUGUUCAGUUUACACUCUCACCUUCAUGUCACUCCAGGAUUAAAUCACUUUUUAUUCAAACGGGUAUCAUUGGCAAAAAGUGUCGUUUAGCCCAAGAUAAUGUUAAUGGUGUGAAACCGGAUAUUUCCUGAUUCUAUUGAUCUGUUUGUCAAGCCAACAGCUGUCCGUGUAUCUUUGUAGUUUUAUCUUCAGUUUAACGAGCUCUGUUGGCCUCAUGAUCGACUCACUGAUGAGUAACCUGAAAACUCGAGAUUUUACCUCCAGACAUUAGAAAGGAAUGUGGAUUUAUCUCCCACAUGUUGUUGUUGUAUAACGAUGAUCACGACCACAUGUCCUUCCGUGUGACUCAAUUGACAAGUUUAAACCAAGUGACAACCUCGGGGGCUGAAACAGAAGCGGCAAAGGCUGCAGUUCCUCUGAUGGCCAUUUGAAGCUGUGUCCUGUAGCCCAUACGUUUCUGUAGACCUCCAGGUUAAAAUCAAGCUGGAAAAGGAAGCCAACGUAGAAGUUCUGUAGUUCCUCCAGAGUCCUCUAUGUGUGUUGUUGGGGGAAACUUCAAAACCAGAGUUUUCGGUGGUUAACUUCACAUUGGAAACGUUCUUGUCCUUCCCUUUUAGAGACUAACUGUGAGGGCCAUUCAUAUGUGUGUUUAUUGAGUUGUCCCUUAGUUUUACUUGAACUUUAUGUUUUUAUUUGUUUUUAUGCCUGAAAGUGUGUGUGUGUGUGUGUGUGUGUGUGUGUGUGUGUGUGUGUGUGUGUGUGUGUGUGUGUGUGUGUGUGUGUUACUAUUAAGGUGUAACAAGGAAGUCAAGAAACCUCAUUACAUGAGGCUCAGAGAAAAUACUUCAAAGGACAAAUAUGGAUGAAAACUCGCUGCUCUGUGCUGACCGAUGGAAAUCUCCACUGCUCUGCCCAUCAGAGCAGAAAUGAUCUUUGUGUUUCCCCUUCCUCUCCACCUGCAGCUGCUCCUGCAUGGCAACCAGGCUGAAGCUCAGUCCCAUUUACGAGCAAAAACCUUCCUAAAUCCUUCACGUCUCUGCAUGCUUUCUUGUAAAGUUGCCAAAAGCUGCCAAAUGUUUGAGUGUUUUUAUCUUCUAAAAUUACACAGUGCAAAACUGUAAAUGCAGAAACCACCUGUAUUAUCACACAGUGACUUUCAGUGGGACAAAAGCUGAAACUGAAAGGUGAUUGAUCCUCAGGAACAGUGAGUUCUGUUUGAGGUGAUGGCAACACAAAGCUUGAUAGCUUGAUGUGCUGCAGGAGCACUUGCUUUUGUUUUCUGCUCUCCAAACAAAGGGCAUGCAAGCAAAGUCUGCCAGCAGGUAAACAUGCAUGCAG
ensembl:lncRNA